UUUGGCCUCGGAUCAGGCGGGGAUACCCGCUGAACUUAAGCAUAUCAAUAAG
rnacentral:rRNA from 1 species